rnacentral:misc_RNA from 1 species
GUAAUGCGAUAAGUAAUGUGAAUUGCAGAAUUCAGUGAAUCAUCGAAUCUUUGAACGCACAUUGCGCCCGCCAGCAUUCUGGCGGGCAUGCCUGUUCGAGCGUCAUUUCAACCAUCAAGCCCCCGGCUUGUGUUGGGGACCUGCGGCUGCCCGCAGGCCCUGAAAAACAGUGGCGGGCUCGCUGUCACACCGAGCGUAGUAGCAUACAUUCUCGCUCAGGGCGUGCUGCGGGUUCCGGCCGUUAAACGACCUUCAUAACCCAAGGUUGACCUCGGAUCAGGUAGGAAGACCCGCUGAACUUAAGC